rnacentral:rRNA from 1 species
ACUGGGCGUAAAGCGCACGCAGGCGGUCUGUCAAGUCGGAUGUGAAAUCCCCGGGCUCAACCUGGGAACUGCAUUCGAAACUGGCAGGCUGGAGUCUUGUAGAGGGGGGUAGAAUUCCAGGUGUAGCGGUGAAAUGCGUAGAGAUCUGGAGGAAUACCGGUGGCGAAGGCGGCCCCCUGGACAAAGACUGACGCUCAGGUGCGAAAGCGUGGGGAGCAAACAGGAUUAGAUACCCUGGUAGUCCACGCUGUAAACGAUGUCGACUUGGAGGUUGUUCCCUUGAGGAGUGGCUUCCGGAGCUAACGCGUUAAGUCGACCGCCUGGGGAGUACGGCCGCAAGGUUAAAACUCAAAUGAAUUGACGGGGGCCCGCACAAGCGGUGGAGCAUGUGGUUUAAUUCGAUGCAACGCGAAGAACCUUACCUACUCUUGACAUCCAGAGAACUUAGCAGAGAUGCUUUGGUGCCUUCGGGAACUCUGAGACAGGUGCUGCAUGGCUGUCGUCAGCUCGUGUUGUGAAAUGUUGGGUUAAGUCCCGCAACGAGCGCAAACCCUUAUCCUUUGUUUGCCAGCGAAUUCGGGUCGGGGAACUCAAAGGA